UACGGGGGGGGCAAGCGUUGUUCGGAAUUACUGGGCGUAAAGGGCCAGUAGGCGGCCAACUAAGUCGGAUGUGAAAUCCCCAGGCUCAACUUGGGAACUGCAUCCGAUACUGGAUGGCUUGAAUUCGGGAGAGGGAUGCAGAAUUCCAGGUGUAGCGGUGAAAUGCGUAGAUAUCUGGAGGAACACCGGUGGCGAAGGCGGCAUCCUGGACCGGUAUUGACGCUGAUGCGCGAAAGCCAGGGGAGCAAACGGG
rnacentral:rRNA from 1 species